rnacentral:miRNA from 1 species
AUCCGUGAUCGCUUUGCCCGGC